UAGGCGGUGCUCUCCUUCUGCACUGUGUUCAACCAUUGUGUCAAUAAUAAGUGCUGCUGUGAAGAGAACAAUUCUCAGACUGAAUGUUGAACAUCAGCUAGUUUCUCCUGUUGAUUUAAACCUUGUUGUACAGAUGGAACAUUGGCUGUGGAUUAUUCUUGCUGCUCUUUUCUUUGAGUGUAAAGGAGAAGACAAAGUGAUCCAGGAACAAGGAGAUGUCAUUGCUGCUGAAGGAGACACAGUUACACUUGGAUGUAGAUUUGAAACCAGUGACCCAGGCCCGACUUUGUUCUGGUACAAACAGAAAAAGAACGGUUCCCCAAAACUUUUAGUUCAACAAUUUUUCUUAUCAGCAGAUAAUUCUGAAGCAAAGGACAGAUUUGAUGCUGAAGUCGACAAGAAAGAAAAGUCAGUUCCUCUGAAGAUCCAGAAGCUUCAGCUGUCUGACUCUGCUGUGUACUACUGUGCUCUGCAGCCCACAGUGACAGGAAACACCAAAACUCUGUACAAAAACCUUUGGAGCAAAGACAACAGAAUACUCCACAACAUCCACUAGAGGGAGCCACACACUGUUAAACCUCUGAUUCUUGUGUCAUUGGACUGAUGACAAAGACAACAGAGAAACGUGACUAUCCAGUUCUGGGACCAGGAGUUGCAGUUUUAACAGUCGUCCACACCAGCUUAUUAUUUUUGUUUUUGAUAUUUUUUUUUUAUUUUUAAAACAUAUUUUUUCCAACAUUUAAAACAAAAACAAACCCCAAACAAACAAAAACAAACAACCAUGCACUUCACAAACACCACAGGUACCAAAAGCUGGAGUUGAUUAGAGUUUACAAAUCUGGGUCCAGUUUAGUCCA